rnacentral:misc_RNA from 1 species
UUUAAUUAUAAGCCGAACAGUUAGUCCCCGUAAAUAAUGUGACGAUGCGUCCCGCGAGUGGUUGCAGCGUAUGUCCCCCAUGGGACAUUAAUUUUGCAACGAUCGAUAGUUACCCGACAUUUUCGAGUAAUUUUCAAGUGUUUUUUUAGCCCUUUUAAAUUCGAUUUCGUGAGUUGUUCUCUCGUUAAACGAUACCUAGAUAUAUUGCUGUUGUCGGUCUGGAGAAACCUUCGAGGAAAAUACGAUCCCGGUCGAUCGAUACUCGUUGCAGUAAGAGAAAGAAUAAGAGAAAAAAGAAAGCUUCUCCGAUGGACUAGAGAGUGAAAGGGAUACACCGAUGGUUUUCGAAUAUCUAUACGAUCAUCGAUCGCAUCGAUUCGGCAAGCUUCCACGAGGAAGGAAAAUUGGUCCUGUUUCGUUUCAUCCUUAAUGGAUUGUCCUUUGCAGGGAUUUUACAUUGGUUGAAAUAAAGAUGCUUAGUUUCUGAACCCAUGUUAAUCUUUUAACUCCAUG